rnacentral:rRNA from 1 species
UACAGAGGUGGCAAGCGUUGUUCGGAAUUACUGGGCGUAAAGGGCGCGUAGGCGGCCCGAUAAGUCCCGCGUGAAAGCCCCCGGCUCAACUGGGGAACUGCGCGGGAAACUACCGGGCUUGAGAUCGGGAGAGGGAAGCGGAAUUCCGGGUGUAGCGGUGAAAUGCGUAGAUAUCCGGAGGAACACCAGUGGCGAAGGCGGCUUCCUGGACCGACACUGACGCUGAGGCGCGAAAGCUAGGGGAGCAAACGGG